AGCAGCAGAAUGGGCGUAAAGUGUGCGCAGGCGGUUUGGCAAGUCAGAUGUGAAAUCCCCGAGCUCAACUUGGGAACUGCGUUUGAAACUGCCAGACUAGAAUAUGUCAGAGGGGGGUAGAAUUCCACGUGUAGCAGUGAAAUGCGUAGAGAUGUGGAGGAAUACCAAUGGCGAAGGCAGCCCCCUGGGAUAAUAUUGACGCUCAUGCACGAAAGCGUGGGGAGCAAACAGGAUUAGAUACCCUGGUAGUCCACGCCCUAAACGAUGUCUACUAGUUGUUGGUGGAGUAAAAUCCAUGAGUAACGCAGCUAACGCGUGAAGUAGACCGCCUGGGGAGUACGGUCGCAAGAUUAAAACUAAAUAAUUGACGG
rnacentral:rRNA from 1 species